UACGAGGGGGGCGAGCGUUGUUCGGAAUUAUUGGGCGUAAAGGGUGCGUAGGCGGUUUGGUAAGUCUGAUGUGAAAUCUAUGGGCUCAACUCAUAGUCUGCAUCGGAAACUGCCGGGCUUGAGUGUGGGAGAGGUGAGUGGAAUUCCUGGUGUAGCGGUGAAAUGCGUAGAUAUCAGGGGGAACACCUGUGGCGAAAGCGGCUCACUGGACCAUAACUGACGCUGAUGCACGAAAGCUAGGGGAGCAAACAGG
rnacentral:rRNA from 1 species